UGCGUAGGGUGCAAGCGUUGUCCGGAAUUAUUGGGCGUAAAGAGCUCGUAGGCGGUUUGUUGCGUCGGCUGUGAAAUCCCGAGGCUCAACCUCGGGUCUGCAGUCGAUACGAGCAAACUAGAGUGUUGCAGGGGAGACUGGAAUUCCUGGUGUAGCGGUGAAAUGCGCAGAUAUCAGGAGGAACACCGGUGGCGAAGGCGGGUCUCUGGGCAACAACUGACGCUGGAGGAGCGAAAGCGUGGGGAGCGAACAGG
rnacentral:rRNA from 1 species